rnacentral:rRNA from 1 species
AUUGAACGCUGGCGGCAUGCCUUACACAUGCAAGUCGAACGGUAACGGGCCUUCGGGUGCCGCCGAGUGGCGAACGGGUGAGUAAUACAUCGGAACGUGCCCGAUCGUGGGGGAUAACGAGGCGAAAGCUUUGCUAAUACCGCAUACGAUCUACGGAUGACAGCAGGGGACCGCAAGGCCUUGCGCGGACGGAGCGGCCGAUGGCAGAUUAGGUAGUUGGUGGGAUAAAAGCUUACCAAGCCGACGAUCUGUAGCUGGUCUGAGAGGAUGAUCAGCCACACUGGGACUGAGACACGGCCCAGACUCCUACGGGAGGCAGCAGUGGGGAAUUUUGGACAAUGGGCGCAAGCCUGAUCCAGCCAUGCCGCGUGCAGGAUGAAGGCCUUCGGGUUGUAAACUGCUUUUGUACGGAACGAAAAGCCUUCUUUUAAUGCAGGAGGGUCAUGACGGUACCGUAAGAAUAAGCACCGGCUAACUACGUG